AUUGAACGCUGGCGGCAGGCCUAACACAUGCAAGUCGAACGAGUGGCGGACGGGUGAGUAAUGUCUGGGAGACUGCCUGAUGGCGGGGGAUAACUACUGGAAACGGUAGCUAAUACCGCAUACCAUCAGAUGUGCCCAGAUGGGUUUAGCUGGUUGGUGGGGUAACGGCUCACCAAGGCGACGUUCCCUAGCUGGUCUGAGAGGAUGACCACCAACCCUGGAACGGAGAAAGGGUCAAGACUCCUCCGGAGGGCAGCAGUGGGGAAUAUUGCACAAGGGGCGCAAGCCUGAUGCAGCAAUGCGGCGUGUAUGAAGAAGGCCUUCGGGUUGUAAAGUACUUUCAGCGGGGAGGCGUUACCCGCCGAAGAAGCACCGGCUAACUACGUGCCAGCCGCCGCGGUAAUUC
rnacentral:rRNA from 1 species